rnacentral:lncRNA from 1 species
CCGUUCUCUUUUGUUUUCCAAGGAAAAAACAAAACACCCUCUCCCCCUUUUGUCUUUCCAACGAUCGGGCUCCUUCACCGCCCACCGUACCACCACCGUUUUCAGUGGCCGGUGACGCGCAACAAUAGGUAUUUCAACCCCAUUUUUGGGACCCUUUGAAGGCCGAGUUUUCAGCCAAACAAUGGGGAAAUGAAAGGGUCUCUCCCUCUCUAAACGACGCGACCCCGACGACGGAGGAGGGAUCUCCGGCGACGAAGCCCCGAGCGAUUCCGGUGAGGCCCUCUACUCCCUCCUUUUAUUUAUUUUUGUGCCCACUUUAUUUAAUAGAUUUGCAAGUAAAGAUAAAAAGAAACUAAAAGAGAUUAGCAAUGAAAUGAAAACAAAGAGAAUAAAUUGGAAAUCACCCUUUUUUUUUAUCUGUUCUGCUCUUGAUUUUUAUUGUUAAAUGUUCGUGUCCCCCCCCAAAAAACUACAAAUGGAUGUUUCGACUUUUAUAACCGAAUUACAUAGAUUCGUUUUUUGUUUUUUUCCUUCUUGUCUGCUAUUUUUUCUUCUUCGUUUCUUGUGUUUCGCGUGCUAGUUUCGUCUUGCAGGUGUCAGACGCGUGGAAGGCCGGUGGUUGGUGCCCUGGUGGUGGCGCGCGUGAUGGCCAAGGGCAGAGGGGGGAGUGGCGGCUGAACUUUGGUGGCUAGGGUUAGGGUGGCUGCUGAAAAAAAGUUUAAGAUAGUGGGCUGACUUAGGCUUUAGGGUUUUAGGUUAUUAGGUUUAUUUUGGGCUAAAAUCUGGGUAUUAGGUUUUAAUUAGGUUUUAUUUUAAUUUUGGGCCAUGUAUUGGACUAUUUUUUUGUUUAUUUGGUUUGGGUUCUUUUAGGCCGAAAUUGGCUAUUACAGAGUAUAUCAAAAUAAAUAUAAAAAAUGAGUAAUUAUUUUUAACGCAUAAAUUGUAGACAAAUCAAUAUAUUUUAAUUACUUUUUACAAAUAUAAUUAUAAGUCAAAGUUAAACAUAAAUAAUACAUAUUUUAGAAAAAUAUAAUUAAAAUGAAACCAAUGCUAAUUACAACAUUCUUUUUGUUAUUUUAACUUUUCUUUUAAAAGAUUGCUAUUUUAACCUAAUCCACUGUCCUAGCUAAUCAGCCUAUUAGGUAAAGCCUUUGCUGGUAUUGAUGGGUAUAAAAGGCUGCAAUAAAGCCACAAUAUUGGAAGGUUUGGGCUUCUCAAUUAUUUGAAUUGGAUUUAAUAUUUUUAAUUUCAUAUAUUUAUAUAUUUAAAUUUUUAUUUUAUUUAUAGUGUAAAUUAUUUUUUAUAUUUCAAUUUUAUAUUGGGAAAUUUUAUGUUUUAUUAUUUAUUUUAGUUAUUUUUAAUGCAUAUCUAUAUUUUAAAUAGGCGUAUGCAAAAUAAAAUUUUUUAAUAUUGAAGUAUUUUGUUGAGUUUGGUGUUACCCGAUAAGCAGAUCAAACUAAUUUAUGAAUUUAUCAAAAAUAUUUUAUUAUUUCAACUUUUUUUAUAAAAUUAUUUAAAUUUAUUUUGACCAUAUUGCGAGUUCUUUAUAAUCUAAUAAUAAUAUAAUAAUAAAAUAAAUGAAUAAAUAAAUAAAUGUGAUAAACCCCCGCCGUAAACCUCAACUUUUCGUUGUUUAAAAGACGGAGUUGUGAAAAG